rnacentral:tRNA from 1 species
GUCCUCCAUAGCUCAGUGGUAGAGCGUCCAACCGGCACCUGGAAGGUCAUGGGUUCGAUUCCCGUUGGGGAGCUCA